rnacentral:lncRNA from 1 species
AAAAUUUAGGAAUAAGUUUUCUUGUUGAAUGUUUGAAUGUGGAAUUUGAGUUGAACGGUUUAGUUUUAGUUCUUGCAUUUGAAAAUGUAUUCAUUUAAUCGGGGAAUGCCCCGCGAUCACUUGUAUUUAUUCGCCGGGGAAUGCCCCGAAGUAUUUUGUAUUUGGAGGACGUCCGUGAUGAAGGCCCGAGGCAUCGGGUAGCAUGGGAGCAUAGUAUAAAAUUGGUGUAGGGUAGAAUAGGAUUUACAUUUUCGC